UACGAAGGGGGCUAGCGUUGCUCGGAAUCACUGGGCGUAAAGCGCACGUAGGCGGCUUGUUAAGUCAGGGGUGAAAUCCUGGAGCUCAACUCCAGAACUGCCUUUGAUACUGGCGAGCUUGAGUUCGGGAGAGGUGAGUGGAACUGCGAGUGUAGAGGUGAAAUUCGUAGAUAUUCGCAAGAACACCAGUGGCGAAGGCGGCUCACUGGCCCGAUACUGACGCUGACGGUGCGAAAGCGUGGGGAGCAAACAGGGAUUAA
rnacentral:rRNA from 1 species